CCUACGGGAGGCAGCAGUGAGGAAUAUUGGUCAAUGGACGAAAGUCUGAACCAGCCAAGUAGCGUGAAGGAUGACUGCCUUAGGGGUUGUAAACUUCUUUUAUAUGGGAAUAAAAUGUUCCACGUGUGGGAUUUGGUAUGUACCAUAUGAAUAAGGAUCGGCUAACUCCGUGCCAGCAGCCGCGGUAAUACGGAGGAUCCGGGGGUUAUCGGAUUUUUUGGGGUUAAGGGGAGCGUAGGUGGAUUGUUAAGUCAGUUGUGAAAGUUUGCGGCUCAACCGUAAAAUUGCAGUUGAAACUGGCAGUCUUGAGUACAGUAGAGGUGGGCGGAAUUCGUGGUGUAGCGGUGAAAUGCUUAGAUAUCACGAAGAACACCGAGUGCGAAGGCAGCUCACGGGACUGCAACUGACGCUGAUGCUCGAAAGUGUGGGUAUCAAACAGGAUUAGAUACCCGGGUAGUC
rnacentral:rRNA from 1 species